rnacentral:misc_RNA from 1 species
CAAACAUUCACAAUCCCCUCAAAGUUCCCCUAAGUUUAAUAAAAAUGGCAAGGUCCUCUUUACUUGGCAAAAGCCCUUCUACACUUUCAAUAAUUCUAUUCCUUGGGUUGCUUCUGGCUAGCCUAGACACAACAGGUGCUCAAAUUGGUGUUUGCUAUGGAAUGCUUGGUAACCUGCCACCACCAGCAGAAGUUGUAGGUCUCUACAACCAGAAUGGCAUCCGCAGAAUGAGACUCUACGACCCAAAUCAAAAUGCUCUCCAAGCCAUUGGAGGCUCUAAUAUAGAGCUCAUACUUGGCCUUCCAAAUGAUAACCUUCAGAGGAUUUCUUCCAAUCAAGCUGAAGCAAAUACUUGGGUGCAAAAUAACAUAAAAAGCCAUGGAAAUGUCAAAUUUCGUUACAUUGCAGUUGGAAAUGAGAUUCAUCCCUCAAGUCCAGAAGCACCUUUUCUGGUCCCUGCCAUGAGAAAUAUUAAAAAUGCACUCAAUUCUGCUGGUCUUGGAAAUAUUAAAGUUUCCACUGCUAUUGAUACUACAGGCCUUGCUGCAGACGCCUUCCCUCCUUCUAAAGGCUCUUUCAAGCAAGAAUAUCGACCAAUUAUUGAUCCUGUGAUCGAAUUUCUAGUGAACAACCAAUCCCCAUUGCUCCUCAACUUGUAUCCAUACUUCAGUUAUAAAGAUAGUUCAGGAAAUAUUAGUCUUGAUUAUGCUCUUUUCAAGCCUUCAUCAACAGUUGUCUCUGAUCCGCCAUAUAGUUAUCAAAACCUUUUCGAUGCGAUGCUUGAUGCUGUAUAUGCUGCCUUGGAGAAGGCUGGUGGAGAUUCUUUGGAGAUUGUGGUAUCAGAAAGUGGUUGGCCGACUGCCGGAGAUUUUGGGACAUCAGUUGAAAAUGCAGGAACUUACAAUAACAACUUGAUUCAACAUGUUAAAGAAGGGACUCCAAAGAAGCCUGGAAAUCCCAUAGAAACUUAUAUUUUUGCCAUGUUUGAUGAGGGUAACAAAAGCCCAGAGUUGGAGAAACACUGGGGACUUUUUUCUCCAAACAAAGAGCAUAAAUACCGUGUCAAUUUCAAUUGAAAGGGUGCCAGAAAUCAAGAAGCACUUAAGGGAAUUUCUAAUCAUUACUAAAUAAGAGCAUGUAUUUCGAUCCCUCUUAGAUGAGGGAAGGAUAUAUAUGCGUACCAAAUUAAUAAAGGUUCAUAAGGCAUAUGUUGGAUACUCAAGCGUGCUUCCAUAGCCUUGAUUGUUUCUAUUGUAUUUGUCGUCUUUCAUAAGACAAAUGUGUGGUUGGGUGUUUCAGGGAAGCCUAUCAGCUGGGUUUAGCUAAGUAAUGACCAUGCUAAAUUUUUUUCUGGAUUCAUUUCAUUAUUAAAAUUUUGGCUUAUUAAAAAAAAGUGUUAGUGAAGUUCUAUAAUUUG